CCAAUUUACUCCCAUUGUUUCCACUUUUAGAACAAACAACAAGACUUAGAAUACUCUAUUAAUAAAUCACACAUUGAGCAAAGGAAAGUAACCAUAUCAGAAUCUAACCAUGUAUGAAUAUUGCAAAAGGCGCCGCAAAGUUAUUUCAAAAUACAUAUAGUAUUUUAAAAUAAUUUGUGUGGCGCCCUUAUCAAUACUCGUUCACGUCGUUCCUUCUCAGCCGACACUUCAGAGUGGGGCCGGGUAGCGGUCGAGGCAAUCGAGCCACGGGUUCCUACUGGGCCUCCGAACCCGGCCCAUCGAGCGCCAAACCGCACUGUUACACUUAAACCCGGAUCCGAAAGCCAGCUGCCAGACCCGAUCCCCUCUUUUAACCCGGCCCUUUGCCUCCAAAUAUGCUAGCUCAUACCAAAUGCUACUGCUUGAGGUAUUCCCAAACCUCUGUAGUGUCAUCCUCGAAGCCUCUAUGUUUUGAUCACUGAGCUCUAAAUUCUUCUGAAGCUCAUCGAGCACCGACUUACUGGCAGCAUGCACACAGAAGUGUUCGAAAGCGAGCUUGUAGUCGGGGAUGUAUGGUUUGGCAGCGGUAGCAGUGGAAGAGGCUUUACGGAAGAGGGUGCGGUAGAUGAGGGUGGCGAAGAAGAUGAGUUGCUCGGAGAAGGGGAGGACAAGGGGGCCGAGGGUGGUGAUGUUCGUCUUGAGGGCAUGGCCACCUACUUCCAUAAGGUCACGACUUAUCGCCAGGCCCUUUAUUCUUUGCUCAUCUUCCUCUUGGUAGACACACCUGAAGCUCCUGUCAUCACCUCCUUUGUGUGUCCUCACAACAUGCUCAAGCCUAUACUUCGCCCGUCGGAAGUCCCGUCGGCGGUUCGACAGCAACACCGCCGAGCACCCCAUCCUGAAGAAGCAAUUCGGAAUCAGCAUCGACCGGUUCCUCCCGGUGUACCACGUAAAAUUCACCGCCUCGCUACUGACGACGACGGCAUAAUUGUUCGGGUUUGCCUGCAGCAUGUCCCUUGCCAAGUCAAUGGCGAUAAUCCCCGCACUGCACCCCAUCCCACCGAGGUUGUAGCUGAGUAUGUUGCCUCUCAUCUUAUAGUGGUUGACAAUCAUGGCGGAGAGGGAGGGGGUGGGGUUGAAGAGGCUGCAGUUGACAACGAGGACGCCGACAUCUUUCGGUCGGAUACGACAUUUCUCGAAAAGUUCAUCCAGCGCUCCGAACAUGACAGUGGAGGCCUCAGCGCGGCCUUCCUUCAUGGUGGCGCAGUUGCCCGGGGCCAUGAUGGAUCUGGGAAUGUAGGUCUCGUCGCCGAUACCGGAGGAGUUGAGGAUGCGGGAUUGGAAGGAGAGACUGUCUUCAUCGAAUUUGCCGGAUUUGCGAGCAAGCUCGAUGAACUCCUCUCUUGUCACCUUGAGAUCAUCUGAGGGGCGGUAGCAAGCGAAAUCAAUCAGAUAAAUCGGUCUCGGUCUGGACAUGAAAUACACAGACACCGUGAACACAAGCACUGCAAAGAAGGCGAGCACGGUGGCGAGAUCGUAGCUCGCCUCCUCCCAGACCUGCCGCCAGAGCUCUUCCUUGCUCAGGCUGCCCACCUCGGCCCCGAACACCGCCAGCAGCACCGGUAUCGUGACCAAGUACACCCCAUGGCUGAUCAGGUAGUGAUACCCUAGUUUGACAUAUUUCAAGUUAACCGACUGUAGGAAGUCGGGUAACCGCCUCCGCACACGGACGGAGAAGGUGAGGGAGCCGGCGUCGGGGCCGGUGGCCUCGACGCCGCGGUUGACGAUCUCGGUGGAGAGGAAGGACUCCUCUCCGGCGGGGCGGCGGCCGGCGAUGGAUCUC
rnacentral:misc_RNA from 1 species